rnacentral:rRNA from 1 species
ACGAACGCUGGCGGCGUGGAUUAAGACAUGCAAGUCGAACGACUAUUUCAGGGGUAGCAAUAUUCUGGAGUGGGAAGUGGCGCAAGGGUUGCGUAACACGUGGGUAAUCUGCCGAAGAAGUUUGGGAUAACCUCGCUGAAAGGGCGAGCUAAUACCGGAGUGUGACAGCUGGGAGGCAUCUUUCUGGUUGUUUAAAGUUGGGGACCGUAAGGCCUGACGCUUUUUGAUGAACCCGCGGCCUAUCAGCUAGUUGGUGAGGGUUAACGGCUCACCAAGGCAAAGACGGGUAGCUGGUCUGAGAGGACGACCAGCCACACUGGAAACUGAGACACGGUCCAGACACCUACGGGUGGCAGCAGGAAUUCGAGAAUUUUUUCACAAUGGGCGCAAGCCCUGAUGGAGCGACGGCCGCCGUGGGGGGAUGAAUGGCUUCGGGCCCGUAAACCCCCUGUCAUUUGCCGAUUCAAACCUCAAUAUUUAAAAGAUGUUGAGCUGAUAGUAGCGAAAGAGGAAGGGACGGCUAACUCUGUGCCAGGCAGCCGCGGUAAUACAGAGGUCCCUGAGCGUUGUUUCGGAUUCACUGGGGCGUAAAGGGUGCGUAGGUGGUGACCGUAAGUCGGAUGUGAAAUCUCGGAGCUCAACUCCCGAAACGGCAUUGGAAACUGCGUUGCUAGAGGGUUGGAGGGGGGACUGGAAUGCUUGGUGUAGCAGUGAAAUGCGUAGAUAUCAAGCGGAACACCAGUGGCGAAGGCGAGUCCCUGGACAACACCUGACACUGAGGCACGAAAAGCCUAGGGGAGGCAAACAGGAUUAGAUACCCUGGGUAGUCCCUAGCCGUAAACGGUGCUUGCUUGCUGUAAAAGGAAUCGACCCCUUUUGUGGCGGAGCCAACGCGUUAAGCAAGCCGCCUGGGAGGUACGGUCGCAAGAAUUUAAAACUCAAAGAAAUUGACGGGGGCCCUGCACAAGCGGUGGGAGUAUGUGGCUCAAUUCGAUGCAACGCGAAAGAAACCUUACCUGGCCUUGACAUGCAUAUAGUAGAAGGGUGAAAAGCCUGACGAGGGUAGCAAUACCAGUUAUGCACAGGUGCUGCAUGGCUGUUCGUCAGCCUCGUGUCGUGAGAUGUUGGGUUAAGUCCCGCAACGAGCGCAACCCCUGUGUCCUGUUGCCCCCUGGUUCGCAAGGACUGGAGCACUCUGGACAGACUGCCUCGCUUUAAAACGAGGAGGGAAGGUGGGGGAUGACCGUCAAGUCAGUAUGGCCCUUACGGCCAGGGCUGCACACGUACUACAAUGCCCGGCACAAAGGGAAAGCGAGACUGUUAAAGUGGAGCAAAUCCCCAAAAACCGGGCCCAGUUCAGAUUGUCGUCUGCAACUCGACGGCAUGAAAGCUGGAAAUCGCUAGUAAAUGGCGCAUCAGCUACGGGCGCCCGUGAAUACGUUUCCCAGGCCUUGUACACACCCGCCCGUCACAUCAUGAAAGCCGUUUGUACCCGAAGUCACCGUAUCAACCGCAAGGGGAGAGGUUGCCGAAGGUAUGGAUGGUGAUUGGGAUG